UCUUCUUUUCUCUUAAUUUUUGUACCCCUGAUUAGGAAAUUUUGUGUAAUUUGUAGAAAUAAUCAAGUGUAUACAAAGGAACUAUUUGCUGUUGGUAGCUGAGGCUACUUCCUGAAGUGCACUCCGGCUGUUUACACACAUGUGAAAAACACGUGGAUUUGAGGGUAGUCUUGUUUGCGGGUAAUUUUUUUUUCGAAAAUGCCGCGUAUGGUGGUGUUUUUCUGGUGUCGGCAGACGAGAUAGGUAACAUAGAACGUGUCUGACUGUGUUAUUCGGCAUCAAUUUUGUAAACUGAUUUUUAAUGAUUUUUUCCCCUCUAUAGUAAUAUAUAGUGAAAAUAAUUACCGGUGUGAUACCUUGAACAUCAACCAGUCUCAACCGGAAGUUGAUCCACGAUACGACGAUCCAAUCAUCUAGAAUAAUGAUACCAUUUUCAUUGUACGGUUUAAUUGCUCGGUAGACCUUCGUAGAAUUCUACACAAGACAAAUUGAAUUCUCUUUCCGUGUUUCUAGAUUAUACAUCUUGAUAAAAACCAUAGCAGUAGAGUACUCGCGGGGGAUUUUGUUUAAACAUGUAUCACGGCUACCCAUGUCCUAAAUCAUAAUGUAUCGGUUAUGCAAGAAAAUUCGUUUGGAGUGUUUCCGGUUAUGAGUUAAAAGAGAACAACUCGCCGCUUCGACAGGAACGUAUUCACCAAAAUUAAAUAAAGAUGUUGCUUAUUCGGAACCAAAGACGUGGCAAUCAAGGCUAGAUCCAGAUAGUAUGUCAACUUUAUGUAUAGUAGGUGCAGAGAAUUGAAGAAGAUAGAGUGUAUUAUUCUAAGGGACCAUUUAGACAGAGAUCGCCUCCAAAAAAAUAUAUUUACCGAAUGCACCAAAUCGACAUGCCAGAGAACAACCCAUCAGGCAACAUGAUGGCUACAGAAUAAACGAUUCUAAGCAGUUGCAGCCGCAGAGACUUGGACUAAACUUUGAUUACAUGUCAGAAUCUAAUGUGUAAUAAAAAUACUAGUUAAUUUU